CCCUUCUUAAUGUUUAGAUUUGUCAAGAGGCCAUCUGGAUUGUUCUAGAAGAAGUGAUUAGACCAAAUCUCUAUAUGAUGCACCAGUUCAUGUUUCUGCACAAGAUUAUGCUAUGGGUUCUUUAAUGCAAGUUUUGUGUGGUGGAAGCAUCCUUAACAGCCUACUAGUCAAUUACUUUAAUCCCUAAUUGACAAAGGAGCAAC
rnacentral:lncRNA from 1 species